rnacentral:rRNA from 1 species
UACGUAGGGGGCAAGCGUUGUCCGGAUUCAUUGGGCGUAAAGAGCGUGUAGGCGGCCAGGUAGGUCCGGUGUGAAAACUCGAGGCUUAACCUCGAGAUGUCAUCGGAAACCAUUUGGCUAGAGUCCGGAAGAGGAAAGUGGAAUUCCUGGUGUAGCGGUGAAAUGCGCAGAUAUCAGGAAGAACACCAAUGGCGAAAGCAGCUUUCUGGGACGGUACUGACGCUGAGACGCGAAAGCGUGGGGAGCGAACAGG